GGGGCUGCUCGGUUUUGACAGCAAGGAUAAUGGGUUUGUAAGCAUGCAGGCUGACGCGCCAGAAGCCUUGAAAACAGACGCAGAACAAUAAUUGGCGAAAAUAACUACGCUCUUGCUGCCUAACCGAAGCACAGUAAGUUCGGCUUAAUCGCCGCGAAAGUCGCGGCGACAAGACAUCUCCCACCAGCCCGGCCCUUCGGCGUGUGACAAGGAGGUGCUAAAAAAGAGGGGAUAGCCGGCAGGUCGCCCCGCCCUGACGGUGAAAAUUUAGAGGCUAAGGGCUGUCUUGGGUGUCCGCGUCCGUCUCAGCCCCGACAAACAACCACGGAAUAAGCAUGUAGAAAGCACAUCUGUUACUUGUUUGGACGAGGGUUCGACUCCCUCCAGCUCCAC
rnacentral:tmRNA from 1 species